UCAAAUUGCAGCCGAACGCCCAUAAAGCAAUUUGAUUUCUUCCGCGGAACAGCAUCCAGUUUCCCGAAAAAUCGGUUCUGGGAAUCGUGGAAACUUCGGAUUUGUAGGAGAUGGAGAAAGGGUACCGAUUGGAUGAAUCCGGUUCAAUUCCGUGUUGGGAGUAUCAACAACAUUGAGAAGGACGAGGCCUCGCUCACCGGUCCAUCGUUUCCAGCCACAGCAAAUGGAAGUACAAAAGGAAUCGUUUAUCACACCAUCCGGAAGGAGCUGUUGUUUGAAAAGCGCAGUGAUAAUAGUAUUGGCCAUCCCGCAGGAGCUCUUUUUCUUAUCAGGUUUGGUUAGCGCUCGCGGGGGAACUUUACUUCUGCUACCAGGUGAUUCGGCUGCUGUUGGUGUAAAGCUGGUG